UAAAAUAAAUACCAGUUGCGCACUGGGGUCAGUGUAACUUAUCUUUUCCCCAAAGUUGCUGGCCUUGUGCCAAAAGUUGAACCCAUUACUAUUAUUAUUAUUAUUAUUAUUAUUAGAAUGGUGGUUUGGCUGACUCAUUUACACAUUGGACAAAAUGCUUAUUGGCAUUCCUUCCACCCUUCACGUUCUGAGUUCAGUUCCUGCCACUGUCGAGUUUGCCUUUCUUCCUUUUGAGGUCAAUGAAAUGAAGUACAAAUUAAGUACUAGAGUCCAUGGAAUUAGGAUAAAACUGAAAACUUUUCUCUCAAUAAGUAAAACAUGAACACAAUAAGCAAUAUAUUUUAAGUUUAUUUAUAAUGAUGCCAUCAUCAUCAUCAUCAGCCAGACCUCAGCCACACAGAGGAAGCCUGAUAUCCCAUCUAUAUCAUUUAUGAAUUAUUAUCUGGCUGUCGGUCUACUGUGAUAUCGGUCAUGUGAGAUGUUAUCUCCAUAACAUAGCCACAGAGCUAGCAUUUAUAAUGUAGCCACAGAUAAGCAGUGGUACAAUUAUGUCAGAGCUAGCAUCAAUAAUGUAGCCACAGAUUAUUUGUUAUUGUGUCAGAGCUAGCAUCAAUAAUGUAGCCACAGAUUAUCAGUGAUAGUGUCAGAGCUAGCAUCAAUAAUGUAGCCACAGAUUAUCAGUGAUAGUGUCAGAGCUAGCAUCAAUAACGUAGCCACAGAUUAUCAGUGAUAGUGUCAGAGCUAGCAUCAAUAAUGUAGCCACAGAUUAUCAGUGAUAGUGUCAGAGCUAGCGUCGAUAACGUAGCCACAGAUUAUCGGUGAUAGUGUCAGAGCUAGCAUCAAUAACGUAGCCACAGAUUAUCAGUGAUAGUGUCAGAGCUAGCAUCAAUAAUGUAGCCACAGAUUAUCAGUGAUAGUGUCAGAGCUAGCAUCAAUAACAUAGCCACAGAUUAUCAGUGAUAGUGUCAGAGCUAGCAUCAAUAACGUAGCCACAGAUUAUCAGUGAUAGUGUCAGAGCUAGCGUCGAUAAUGUAGCCACAGAUUAUCGGUGAUAGUGUCAGAGCUAGCAUCAAUAACGUAGCCACAGAUUAUCAGUGAUAGUGUCAGAGCUAGCAUCAAUAACGUAGCCACAGAUUAUCGAUGAUAUGAUAGUGUCAGAGCUAGCAACUGUAACAUUAGCCAUAGAUUAACUGUGAUACGGAAGAUACCUUCAGAAAUAUUGAUGGGUUAUUUGCUAGAAAGAAAAAAAAAGGAAAAAAUUGAGAAAUUCUUAAGUUAUUAAGGGAAAUAAUAGAAGACAAGAUUAGAAUGAUAAUUAGUCUGACUAUGAUGGUGAUUGUAAUAAUAAUAAUAAUAGCAAUAAUAACGAUGAUGAUGAUAAUAAUAAAUAGUAAUAAAAUCAAUGAUUUAGCCAUUUUUAGACUUAUUUCAGUGCUAAAUUUUAGCCAAUAACUGCUUUUUGUUUUCAUUGUUGCAUUAUUGCAAAUAUUUUUUUUUUUUUGCUGUUGUUGUAGGUUUGAAAAGAAAAACAAAAGAGAAAAAAAAAAAAGCAAAUUUAAAUAUUGCAAUCUUUGAUCAUUUUUGUCUUUCAAAAUGAACUCCUCCUCCUCCUCUUCCUUCUCUUCCUGCCACUACUAAUAAAAAACCCAUCCACCACCUCGUUACUCUCCACCCCCCACUUUCCUUUAAAAAAAAAUAUUAGCAAAAUGUAAAA
rnacentral:lncRNA from 1 species